GCCCCCGUAGGCCAACCGGCAGAGCCCGCGGAUUCAAAAUCCGUCCAGUGUGGGUUCGAAUCCCACCGGGGGCA
rnacentral:tRNA from 1 species